UUGAACGCUGGCGGCAGGCCUAACACAUGCAAGUCGAGCGGAUGAAGGGAGCUUGCUCCUGGAUUCAGCGGCGGACGGGUGAGUAAUGCCUAGGAGUCUGCCUGGUAGUGGGGGAUAACGUCCGGAAACGGGCGCUAAUACCGCAUACGUCCUGAGGGAGAAAGUGGGGGAUCUUCGGACCUCACGCUAUCAGAUGAGCCUAGGUCGGAUUAGCUAGUUGGUGGGGUAAAGGCCUACCAAGGCGACGAUCCGUAACUGGUCUGAGAGGAUGAUCAGUCACACUGGAACUGAGACACGGUCCAGACUCCUACGGGAGGCAGCAGUGGGGAAUAUUGGACAAUGGGCGAAAGCCUGAUCCAGCCAUGCCGCGUGUGUGAAGAAGGUCUUCGGAUUGUAAAGCACUUUAAGUUGGGAGGAAGGGCAGUAAGUUAAUACCUUGCUGUUUUGACGUUACCAACAGAAUAAGCACCGGCUAACUUCGUG
rnacentral:rRNA from 1 species